rnacentral:pre_miRNA from 1 species
UUAGCUCAUAUUUGUAUGGAAUGGGAUCGUUUGCGUACGUUUGCCGCUAGGGGCGCUGAUCCAACUGCGUACAAAAUUGGGUUA